rnacentral:tRNA from 1 species
GCGGAGGUGGCGGAACGGCAGACGCGCACGGUUCAGGUCCGUGUGAGCUAACACUCGUGAGGGUUCAAAUCCCUUUCUCCGCA